rnacentral:rRNA from 1 species
UACGGAGGGGGCGAGCGUUAUUCGGAAUUAUUGGGCGUAAAGGGCGCGUAGGCGGCAUGGUAAGUCAAAGGUGAAAUCCCUCAGCUCAACUGAGGAAUUGCCUUUGAAACUGCCAAGCUUGAGGCCGGGAGGGGGUAGCGGAAUUCCCAGUGUAGCGGUGAAAUGCGUAGAUACUGGGAGGAACACCGGUGGCGAAGGCGGCUACCUGGACCGGAUCUGACGCUGAUGCGCGAAAGCGUGGGGAGCAAACAGG